rnacentral:tRNA from 1 species
AUCUUUCUAGUAUAAUAUACAAGCGACUUCCAAUUGCUAAAUCUUGAUUAAAUCUCAAGGAAAGAUA